GUACACUCUACAGUCUCAGACUCGAACCUAGGAUCUCUCCCAAACCCACCUCAUCGGCCAAUGAAUCAUUGGUAUCCCUUGCAACUUUAAUUUCUAUAUGAGGAAGUUCUUGGUAUUAAAGGUUGAACUUUUAAAAAUUAGGUAAGGAGUUAAGAAUCAUAUAUAUUAGUUUAGGAUUUUGUUGGUUUUAGCUUGGACAUGGCCUAAAU
rnacentral:misc_RNA from 1 species